UGUGCAACCUGCCUUUAUCUGGGGGAUAGCCUUUCGAAAGGAAGAUUAAUACCCCAUAAUAUAUUUGAUGGCAUCAUUCGAUAUUGAAAACUCCGGUGGAUAGAGAUGGGCACGCGCAAGAUUAGAUAGUUGGUGAGGUAACGGCUCACCAAGUCUACGAUCUUUAGGGGGCCUGAGAGGGUGAUCCCCCACACUGGUACUGAGACACGGACCAGACUCCUACGGGAGGCAGCAGUGAGGAAUAUUGGACAAUGGGUGAGAGCCUGAUCCAGCCAUCCCGCGUGAAGGACGACGGCCCUAUGGGUUGUAAACUUCUUUUGUAUAGGGAUAAACCUACCCUCGUGAGGGUAGCUGAAGGUACUAUACGAAUAAGCACCGGCUAACUCCGUGCCAGCAGCCGCGGUAAUACGGAGGGUGCAAGCGUUAUCCGGAUUUAUUGGGUUUAAAGGGUCCGUAGGCGGAUCUGUAAGUCAGUGGUGAAAUCUCACAGCUUAACUGUGAAACUGCCAUUGAUACUGCAGGUCUUGAGUGUUGUUGAAGUAGCUGGAAUAAGUAGUGUAGCGGUGAAAUGCAUAGAUAUUACUUA
rnacentral:rRNA from 1 species